AUACGUAGGGGGCGAGCGUUGUCCGGAAUGAUUGGGCGUAAAGGGCGCGUAGGCGGCUUUGCAAGUCAGUAGUGGAAGUCCAUUUUUCAAGGAUGGAAGUGCUACAGAAACUGCGGAGCUUGAGUGCAGGAGAGGUUAUCGGAACUCCCGGUGUAGCGGUGAAAUGCGUAGAGAUCGGGAGGAACACCAGUGGCGAAGGCGGGUAACUGGACUGCAACUGACGCUGAGGCGCGAAAGUGUGGGGAGCAAACAGGAUUAGAUACCCUGGUAGUCCACACUGUAAACGAUGAAUGCUAGGUGUAGGAGGUAUCGACCCCUUCUGUGCCGCAGUAAACACAGUAAGCAUUCCGCCUGGGGAGUACGGUCGCAAGAUUAAAACUCAAAGGAAUUGACGGGG
rnacentral:rRNA from 1 species